CCACUAAUUUAUUCCUACUUUAAAUUUUUUUCCAAUUAUCCAAUCCUUUUGGUUCUCACGGUUUUUCUCCCCCACCAAAAACCCUCCCAGUCGCUGCACAGACCCCUAUCGAUGCAGAACCGCGUGCGCCGGAAGCUGCAACCCCAGAAGGCAACCUGUCCUCGCAAGCGUCCUUCAUUGUUGUCCUCAAGUCCCUCGCCCUGUUGCCGUUGCACAUCUCACCGUCACUGCAGCCCAGCCCCUGCGAACUUCGCCUCCGACCCGAACUACAGCCAAGUGAGUCGUCACCGCCAAACUGAUCAGCUGUGCCAUUCUCCUCGCGCGGAAGCCGUUAUCUCCAGCAUAUCCGUCGCACUGGUGGCAGCCGACAUCCGAUCCUGGAAGAUUAGCCGACUGCUCGUCGACCAUUCACCGAGACCACAACGAACAUCAUCGCUAGCAGUAGGCUAACCAUCCAAGGCUUGGACCACUAGAUUUUCACACCCCAAACGCCAAAUUGCAUUAAGAGGACUCUAGCAAGAGAAUAUCUACUAUCUGGAUAUAAAGACACGGUUGAGAGCCUUGAGGAAGUUAGAGAAAUCGCACUAGCCCAGGUUCAAAGUUUUAACAAGAUAGGCAUCCUUAAUUGCAACGAGGUUACCUGCUUCUUUUGUAAGAGUUAAAUACUUAGAAUUAAGGGGGACUAUUGCGUGAGUAAAUUAUCACGGUGCUCCAACAAAUCGUUUUUUAAACCGGCCGAACACAAACUCAAAUGGGUAAAAAGAAAUUAGUCGAGACGCGAUGCUCACCUUGCUACAUUAACAACUUGUUUACCCACUUGGAAUAACAUAAUGAGCACACUAAGUUGGCCGAGAUUGAGGCCAUUGAUUUUGAUUUCCUACGGCGGGUACCGCAAUAGCAUGUGAAGCAGAGCAUCAUGCUCCAACUAGCUAGGGCCUAUGAUCUGGAGUCAAACACUCUCAGGGUCGACGCAUGGGACAUUCGCGUUACCGCCGAACUUAUCGGCAAUGUAUUCGGCAUACCUUCUCGAGGUUAGUCAAAGUUAUGUAACAUGUAAAAAUUCUUAUGCGUGGUUUUUGUUUUUUCUUUGUUGACCCUGACUGAUUGUUUGUACACUGCUUCAUUAACGCAGGGACCCAAUCCCGGAACUGUAGAAAAAAAUGCAUCGCAUUUGGCAAUUAAGAGAGAGUUUCAGAAGAAAACUACAACACAACUGCGGGACUUUGUCUUUGCCUAUCCAAUGGAGAUUGAGCAAUAGAGGAUGACCUUUAGACGAUACUUUAUCCUGGUGGUUUUGAAGAUGUUUCUUAACCCCACAAGCCAGCAGACUAUUUCUCCGUGGCACCUCCCUCCGAUAUUGGAUGUCUCGAACCCAAGAAGAUUCAACUGGCCGUAUCAGAUAUUUAAAGUGGUUGCGAGAUGCGAUAAGAAAAUUCCAAGACCAGAACAGGAAAACAUGCAGCGGGUGCAUGUUCGUGUUGCUGGUAUUGCAACUAAAUUUCCUAAAUUUUAAAAACAUGUACGGUAAGUCCUAAUAUUUAAGUUACUUUGUGUAUAAGUUUUAUACUUCCAGAGUUUAAAGUAUGGUCCAUUGCAUGCAUGUCAAGUACCCAAGCCUUGGAUUGUUGAAUGGACCGCUAACGAACUUGAUAAGAAGGCCGACCAUGUUAUCUCACAGGUUCAAUCUCUAAUAAUCUCAUUUUUAUAAUCAAAUUGAAUACAAAUGCCAUUAGAGGUUCAUGUUGAUUUUUUCUAUCUUUGUUGUCCCGUAUUGAACACACAGGGUUGUAUAGUCGACAAUGCAAGAAAAGAAAAAAAACAAAAGAAAAAGUCUAGUAGUAAAGCAAUAAACAAAAAAGAAAGGUGUAAAAGGCCCCCGCAAAGAUCCUGACCAAUCGCUGUCUACCUAGGGCAAGACUACAUCUCAGCUAAGGAUGCUGAUAAGGUAAUCUGCUUUGUUGAGAUGUAGUCUUGCCCUGGGUAGACGGCGAUUGGUCAGGGUCCUUGCGGGGCCUUUUACACAUUCCUUUCUUGUUUAUUGCUUUACUACUAGACAGUCUAGACUCUUUCUUCUGUUUUUUCCCUUUCCUUGCUUUGUCGGCUAUGCAAACAUGUGUGUUCAAUACGAGACAACAAAGAUAGAAAAAAAUUAACGUGAACAUCUAAUGACAUUUGUAUUCAAUUUGAUUAUAAAAAUGAGAUUAUUAGAGAUUGAACCUGUGAGAUAACAUGGUCGGCCUUAUCAAGUUUAUUAGCGGUCCAUUCAACAAUCCAAGGCUCGAGUACUUGACAUGCAUGCAACGGACCAUGCUUUAAGUGCUGAAAGUACAAAACCUAUACACAAGUAACUUAAAUAUUAGGACUUACACCUUAGGUCGUACAUGUUUUUAAAAUUUAGUUGCAACACGAACAUGCACCCGCUGCAUGUUUCCCGGUUAUUGUCUUGGAAUUUCCUUAUCGCAUCUCGCAACCACUUUAAUAUCUGAUAUGGCCAGUGGAAUCUUCUUGGGUUUGAGACAUCCAAUAUCGGAGGGAGGUGUCACGGAGAAAUAGUCUGCUGGCUUGUGGGGCUAAGAAACAUCUUCAAAACUAUCAUGAUAAAGUAUCGUCUAAAGGUCAUCCUCUGUUGCUCGGUAUCCAUUGGACAGGCAAAGACAAAGUCCCACAGUUAUGUUGUAGUUUUCUUCUGAAACUCUCUCUUAAUUGCCAAAUGCUAUGCAUUUUUUUCUGCAAUUCCGAGAUUGGGUCCCCUGCGUUAAUAAAGCAGUGUACAACAAUCAGUCAGUGUCAACAAAGGAAAAACAAAAACCACGCAUAAGAAUUUUUACAUGUUACAUAACUUUGACUAACCUCAAGAAGGUAUGCCGAUCAGUUCGGCGGUAACGCGAAUGUCCCCUGCUGAGAGUGUUUGACUCCACGUCAUAGGCCCUAGCUAGUUGGAGCAUGAUGUUCUGCUUCACAUGCCAUUGCGGUACCCGCUGCAGGAAAUCAAAACCAAUGGCCUCAAUUUCGGCCAACUUAGCGUGCUAAUUAUGUUGUUCCAAGUGGGUGGAUAAACAAGUUGUUAAUGUAGCAAGGUGAGCAUCGCGUCUCGACUAAUUUCUGUUGAAGAAAAAAUAGGAUCAGAAUAAAGUCAAAAAAUAUAACAUCGCUGGAUAAGUUUUUAUGUUGGUUUGAAAAUUCUAUGCAACGGCAGACGGAACACAAACUAGCGAUUCAACCAUAUCGCACUCCAUUAAUUAAUUUUGGCUUGGUGGUGUGCAUGAAGGAGGACCCUCGCUUGAAGCACGUUCGUCUUGCGAUGUCGCCAUCAAGAAGAAGGCAAACUGGUUGCGCACUAUCCUUGCUGGAGGCGCAAAGAUCCUGCAAACCAAGUGCUGUGCGGUGGACUGUGCGGACGAGAGGGCGGUGGGAACAGACGCAGACAGCAGUCGGUGAUCGUGGCGGAGUUGAAGCGGCGAGAUUCUCGGAUUAAUCGAGAGAAUGGAAGUCACGCUAUCUUGAGAGAGGGAGUUCGUUGUUUUGAUUCUAUAACUGACGCAGAAUGCCGUUAAGCCAAUUAGCCAACAGUAACUAUGGAUAAUAGAAAUUAGCCACCAAAGGAUCUCUGUUUAUGAAUGCCUAAGACCUUCUCCCCGAUUAACAUUCCCGUUCUAGACUCAAAAAAUAGCCAAGCUAUACGAGUUCUAUCCUUGGUUUUCCUCCAUCACCCUUCAAGUGUGAAAACACAAAAUUGAAAAUUUUUGUGAAGGAGAAGAACCACUGUACUGUCCUUGCAAAUAUUUACAUUUGGAUAACAUGGGUGGACGCAUAAAACUUCUCCAUCACAAUCCCAGUACUAGCAGGACACUGUUGGUUUUAUGACUCAACACAACCAUCCAAUAGAACACAAACAGCAAGGCAUUAUCAGACUAACAUCUUGUAAACACCAGAGAUAUUCACCAAUGACAGAUCCCAGGUGCCUCUGUUUUGCUCAAUGCCACUAUUUCCUCAUACUGUGAAGAAAAUACAAAGCCCCACAACUGCAUGGAAGACACAAAAAUGAAAAUCACUGAUUGGCUCCUUUAUUUCUAAUACAUGACUCCGCUUAAUUGAUAAUUGUUUUCUA